GGGCUUGUGGGGCUCCAACAGUGGGGGUUCCGGAUCCUGGCCCACAGCUUUCUGAUCAGGAUUGUUAAAAUGAGUCUGCGGAAGCAAACCCCCAGUGACUUCUUAAAGCAAAUCAUUGGACGACCCGUUGUGGUAAAAUUAAAUUCUGGAGUGGAUUAUCGAGGGGUCCUGGCUUGCCUGGAUGGCUACAUGAACAUAGCCUUGGAGCAGAUGGAAGAAUACGUAAAUGGACAACUCAAGAAUAAGUAUGGGGAUGCAUUUAUCCGCGGAAAUAACGUGUUGUACAUAAGCACACAGAAGAGAAGGAUGUGACGACACCAAGAGUACAAUACUUUUCAGACUCGGAUAUAUUUUUUAUGGGAUUUUGGUUCUUUUUGAUAUCACUUGUCCUGUUUCAUAAUAGUUGGUGAUAUUUCACUGACAUUGAGUAAGAUAAAUGUAUAAAAUUGUGGAUUUAAUUGUAAAGAAUUUUUUUAUAUUUAAGAUCCAGUCAUUUUCUUUUUGCCUCU